AACGAACGCUGGCGGCAGGCUUAACACAUGCAAGUCGAACGCUCGUAGCAAUACGGGAGUGGCGGACGGGUGAGCAACGCGUGGGAACGUGCCCUGAGGUACGGAAUAACUGAGGGAAACUUCAGCUAAUACCGUAUGAGCCCCGAGAGGGGGAAAGAUUUAUCGCCUUGGGAGCGGCCCGCGUCGGAUUAGCUAGUUGGUGGGGUAACGCCUACCAAGGCUUCGAUCCGUAGCUGGUCUGAGAGGACGAUCAGCCACACUGGGACUGAGACACGGCCCAGACUCCUACGGGAGGCAGCAGUGGGGAAUCUUGCGCAAUGGGGGCAACCCUGACGCAGCCAUGCCGCGUGAACGAUGAAGGCCUUAGGGUUGUAAAGUUCUUUUACCCGUGACGAUGAUGACGGUAACGGGGAAUAAGCUCCGGCUAACUUCGUGCCAGCAG
rnacentral:rRNA from 1 species